ACGCUCGACACCUACGGGGGGCAGCAGUGGGGAAUAUUGCACAAUGGGGGAAACCCUGAUGCAGCAACGCCGCGUGAAGGAAGACGGUUUUCGGAUUGUAAACUUCUGUUCUUAGUGAAGAUAGUGACGGUAGCUAAGGAGCAAGCCACGGCUAACUACGUGCCAGCAGCCACGGUAAUCUGAGCGGGCUGGCAAGGC
rnacentral:rRNA from 1 species